rnacentral:rRNA from 1 species
GUGUCAGCCGCCGCGGUAAUACGUAGGUGGCAAGCGUUGUCCGGAAUUAUUGGGCGUAAAGCGCGCGCAGGCGGUUCCUUAAGUCUGAUGUGAAAGCCCACGGCUCAACCGUGGAGGGUCAUUGGAAACUGGGGGACUUGAGUGCAGAAGAGGAGAGCGGAAUUCCACGUGUAGCGGUGAAAUGCGUAGAGAUGUGGAGGAACACCAGUGGCGAAGGCGGCUCUCUGGUCUGUAACUGACGCUGAGGCGCGAAAGCGUGGGGAGCAAACAGGAUUAGAUACCCUGGUAGUCCACGCCGUAAACGAUGAGUGCUAAGUGUUAGAGGGUAUCCACCCUUUAGUGCUGUAGCUAACGCAUUAAGCACUCCGCCUGGGGAGUACGCUCGCAAGAGUGAA